AGUGAACGCUGGCGGUAGGCCUAACACAUGCAAGUCGAACGGCAGCACAGUAAGAGCUUGCUCUUACGGGUGGCGAGUGGCGGACGGGUGAGGAAUACAUCGGAAUCUACUUUUUCGUGGGGGAUAACGUAGGGAAACUUACGCUAAUACCGCAUACGACCUACGGGUGAAAGCAGGGGAUCUUCGGACCUUGCGCGAUUGAAUGAGCCGAUGUCGGAUUAGCUAGUUGGCGGGGUAAGGGCCCACCAAGGCGACGAUCCGUAGCUGGUCUGAGAGGAUGAUCAGCCACACUGGAACUGAGACACGGUCCAGACUCCUGCGGGAGGCAGCAGUGGGGAAUAUUGGACAAUGGGCGCAAGCCUGAUCCAGCCAUACCGCGUGGGUGAAGAAGGCCUUCGGGUUGUAAAGCCCUUUUGUUGGGAAAGAAAAGCAGCAGGUUAAUACCCCGCUGUUCUGACGGUACCCAAAGAAUAAGCACCGGCUAACUUCGUG
rnacentral:rRNA from 1 species